AUUGAACGCUGGCGGCAGGCCUAACACAUGCAAGUCGAGCGGCAGCGGGAAAGUAGCUUGCUACUUUUGCCGGCGAGCGGCGGACGGGUGAGUAAUGCCUGGGAAAUUGCCCAGUCGAGGGGGAUAACAGUUGGAAACGACUGCUAAUACCGCAUACGCCCUACGGGAGAAAGCAGGGGACCUUCGGGCCUUGCGCUAUCAGAUGAGCCUAGGUCGGAUUAGCUAGUAGGUGAGGUAAUGGCUCACCUAGGCGACGAUCCGUAACUGGUCUGAGAGGAUGAUCAGUCACACUGGAACUGAGACACGGUCCAGACUCCUACGGGAGGCAGCAGUGGGGAAUAUUGGACAAUGGGCGCAAGCCUGAUCCAGCCAUGCCGCGUGUGUGAAGAAGGCCUUCGGGUUGUAAAGCACUUUCAGUAGGGAGGAAGCGUUGUGUGUUAAUAGUACACAGCGUUGACGUUACCUACAGAAGAAGCACCGGCUAACUCUGUGCCAGCAGCCGCCGUAAUAC
rnacentral:rRNA from 1 species